GGCUAUUUGGUUAAUUCAUCCAACCAAAACCCAACACUCCUUUCAUAUGAACUUACAUGGUAAGUAGGUUCCCCCUCCCUUCUUUAAAUUGGUUCCUCAACAAAUGUGUAUCGAAUUUCAAAACUUACUUUCCAUUCACCUUUGCUGAACCUUUUUUUUUUUCUCUCUUAUUCUCACCUUCCCCUCUGCUCCUCCUAAUCUAAAGCCUUGGUGCUGGUUCAUGGAUAUUGAACCCUUGUGGGCUCUUGGGGGGUGGUUUUUUCUUUAUUUCUUUGAUUGUAUGGCAGCACCUAAAUCAACAUCAUCGCUCUCACACGCCUAUGAAAAACCCCAUUUUUUCCUACUCUUCCUCACCCUUGUCUUCUUGGUUUUCCUUCUACUCUUUAACCCCUCUUCAAACCCUAUCAACUCAUCCAAUGUCACCCCUUCCAUCCCUUUCAAGAGGCUCCUCUUACAUAAUUCAUGGAAAUCAUCAUCAUCAACCAUGAACUUGCCCCCCAAGCAAAGGCGUCAUCCCCGCACCUCCGCGUCUUCGUUCGGAGCCGAAGCUCAUGAAGUUCCUAGCGGUCCAAACCCUAUUUCCAACAGGUAGGUAAGUGUGAUUUUGUGGAGACAUAUGGGGUGAAGAUGAUAAAGAAAGAGUCGUGACAGCGAAACUUUAUUGUUAAUGUGUUUUGUCAUAUCUUUUCUAUGAGUACUGUUUAGUUCCACCAUUAAUACCGCUUGUCCUCUCUGUGAGGAGUUUGUUUGUCAUCGUCAUCAUCUCUAGCAUUACUUUUUUUUUUGAACUAGAAAUGUAUAGGAAGAGAGAUACUCUAUAUUUUUCUACAUCUAUGUAUGUAUGCUAUUUGUUUUAUAUAUAGAUGAUUAUGGGUAUGGUUUAUAUAAAGUUACUUUGAUUUCUUGUAUUCACUGUUAUACCAUAUGGAUUCUUGGUGGGAUAUAUAUGAAUAAUCUUGUUUUUAAUUAAUUCAGUAGAGAUUCAAAUCUGCAUGACUCCUAGUGAGUUGGUUUCUAAUUUGGUGAAAAACCAUGCCCCCUCCUGGUAAAAAGUUAAAGAAUCAUGGGCGAUAAGCAUGGUUUUUGUGAGAGUGUAGUGCAUGGCCUUUCCUUUCCUUUCCUUUCCUUGGGGGAGGAAAGGAAGGCAGAUAAGAAGGGAAUCUGGGUGGCUGCUAGGCCAAAAUGGGAGCAGCAGAGAAGAAGAGAUGACCACAACAUCUUUUGUUUUGUUUUGUCUGAAAAGAAAUUUUAUCGGGUCAGUAAAUUGGGACAUAGCUUUUGUCUUCCUGCUUUGCACAUAAAUCGAGAAAAUAGAGAUGCCAAAGUCAUGAUUUGAUAAUUAUUACUGUAUCAUUUUUCUGGCCUCUGUUGUUGAAUAAAAUGUUACCCAAUCUUAUGCUUUUUCUGAUGCAACUAAUUAUUAUGCUUUUUUUCUUUUUUUGGCUCUAAAACAUCUUCAUUUCAACCAUUUUCUGGGGUUGCUUUGAAGCGUUUUAAUUCAGAGACUGGUCAACUUAUAGUGAAAAGUGAAAACUGAGAGCUCAAGAAGCUAGUGAAGGUCUGAGCAAUUGAGGCAAAGGGCCAGUAGAGUAGAUUUUUUAAAAAACUUGCUGGUGUAUUUCUAAUAGAAGAAGAAUCAGUUGAAUGGGGACUAUGCUAGAGCUGUAGUUACGAGUAAGCCACUUGUUUAUUUUGUAUCAUGCAUGGCUAUUUGGUGAACGAAGUAUACAUACGUUUUGUAUCUACUUUUGAAAUUAUCUUUGUAAUUUGUAUUAUUUUGUCUUAAAAAGAAGAUUACCCUUUACUAUGAAAGUGUACACCAAACUCCCUUGAAUUGUAGUUAAUGAACUUAUCUUUUAUAUGCA